CUUCGGGGUGGAUUAGUGGCGAACGGGUGAGUAACACGUGGGCAAUCUGCCCUUCACUCUGGGACAAGCCCUGGAAACGGGGUCUAAUACCGGAUAUGACACACGACCGCAUGGUCUGUGUGUGGAAAGCUCCGGCGGUGAAGGAUGAGCCCGCGGCCUAUCAGCUUGUUGGUGGGGUGAUGGCCUACCAAGGCGACGACGGGUAGCCGGCCUGAGAGGGCGACCGGCCACACUGGGACUGAGACACGGCCCAGACUCCUACGGGAGGCAGCAGUGGGGAAUAUUGCACAAUGGGCGAAAGCCUGAUGCAGCGACGCCGCGUGAGGGAUGACGGCCUUCGGGUUGUAAACCUCUUUCAGCAGGGAAGAAGCGAAAGUGACGGUACCUGCAGAAGAAGCGCCGGCUAACUACGUGCCAGCAGCCGCGGUAAUACGUAGGGCGCAAGCGUUGUCCGGAAUUAUUGGGCGUAAAGAGCUCGUAGGCGGCUUGUCACGUCGGAUGUGAAAGCCCGGGGCUUAACCCCGGGUCUGCAUUCGAUACGGGCAGGCUAGAGUUCGGUAGGGGAGAUCGGAAUUCCUGGUGUAGCGGUGAAAUGCGCAGAUAUCAGGAGGAACACCGGUGGCGAAGGCGGAUCUCUGGGCCGAUACUGACGCUGAGGAGCGAAAGCGUGGGGAGCGAACAGGAUUAGAUACCCUGGUAGUCCACGCCGUAAACGUUGGGAACUAGGUGUGGGCGACAUUCCACGUC
rnacentral:rRNA from 1 species